rnacentral:rRNA from 1 species
UACGUAGGGGGCGAGCGUUGUCCGGAGUUACUGGGCGUAAAGCGCACGCAGGCGGUCUGCUAAGUUUGGAGUGACAGUUGGUGGCUUAACUGCCAAAGUGCUUCGAAAACUGACAGACUUGAGGGCUUCAGAGGGACACGGAAUUCCACGUGUAGCGGUGAAAUGCGUAGAGAUGUGGAGGAACACCAGUGGCGAAGGCGACUCUUUGGCCUAUAACUGACGCUGAGGCGCGAAAGCGUGGGGAGCAAACAGG